rnacentral:rRNA from 1 species
GCAAGUCGAGCGCUACCUUCGGGUGGAGCGGCGGACGGGUUAGUAACGCGUGGGAACGUACCCUUUUCUGCGGAAUAGCCACUGGAAACGGUGAGUAAUACCGCAUACGCCCUUCGGGGGAAAGAUUUAUCGGAGAAGGAUCGGCCCGCGUUAGAUUAGAUAGUUGGUGGGGUAACGGCCUACCAAGUCUACGAUCUAUAGCUGGUUUUAGAGGAUGAUC